AUUUAUGCACAAGGAGGUUAUUUAUUAGAAAAAAUUCAUUUCUUCACCUCUUUCUUUAUCUACACUUGAAACAGAGUGAGACCAAUGCUUCUAUUUUUUUUUUUUUCCUUCUUAAAAUUGUUUACAUUUUCUUCCCAGAAUUUCCAGGAGGAUUAUAGGUAAGGCUGUGACACCUAUGCAGAGUUAUGGGAUGCUUUGUAACUGGUGUGAUGCAGAUAAAUGCAACUGCAAGCCUAGGAAGUCCCAGUGGGUCACUCUCAUUUCAUUUCAUUUUAGUUUGACUUUAAAUCAGUGAUAUUUAAUUUUUUUUUAAAGAAAAUUCUUUAAAAGGCUUUUAUAAAAUGAAAAGUCCUGGUUAAGCCUUGGAGUCCUACACGCAAGUGUGGAAAACUGCAGCUUCACUAAAAACCGUGCAGUAAAUGUGCCGUUCCUUGGUGCAUGCUUAUUAUGGGUAAAUAUUGUUCUCUGGGUAGUGCCUGGAAAUUGUAAUUAAUUUCAAAUACUCCCUCUUUUUGCCCACGUAUGCAGAUUUCAAAUCUGUGCCUGCGCCGGUUUUGACACCGUGCAGUGAAGCAUCCGAGCUCUCAGAUGUCUGGCUCUUGCGAGUUGUGAAACGAGAAAACAAACAAACCCAACCAUUCCAGCCCUGUCAAUCUCCUUCUCAGUGGACAGAUGCCCUGGUGCCAGAAAAGCUUCAUCCCAUGAUCCCACACCUCUUGGCAGUGCCAAAAAAAAAGCCAGAGAUCUACUGGAUGCGAAAGCACGACGGUUCCUCACCCCAAAAACUGGGAUUUAUGGCCACACUGGAGCUCCUGGGCUAAGAAUUUGCCAAGGGCAUCAACAGCAGUUUUCCCAGGCUCCAGCACAAGGAUUAUGUAGUCAAUCCACAAAUGACUCAAAUCUUUGAAGAAAAGGACAUGGUUAUCAGAGAGGCUUUGACGACAGCAAGGACGGGAGUGCUAUCUGCCUUUUUCCAUCAGAGAUUCCCAUUCCCUCUCAUUAACAUACCCAGGACAUCAGCACAGCCGUCGGCCCGAGGGAAUUGCUUCCAACUUUUAAGGGAAUAUUCACAAGACCUCGCCCCUGCGUUGUUUCAGACAGAUCAAACCAGAUUUGCCUCGUGUAAGGGUUCUUCAGUCCCACCGAGGAUGUGAUGUGAAAGCUGCUGCUGCUGUAAGUGGGGAAAGGAGAAGCCUCUACCUGCUCUCUCCCAGUGCUCUGCAAUGAAAAAUGCUUUUGGAGCAACCCUGGAAAUAAGCCAUCAAAAUAUCUGAUUAAAGCUCUUAGGAAACUCUCACUAAUCACCUUCCCUGCUCUUGAUGGAAUGUAUUUAUGCAUUAUAAAUAUACUUACUAUGUGUGUGUGCUCCAUAAAUCACACCCAGCACUUGUAUGUGAUGUAUAAGCACAUUCUAUAGAACACACACAAAUACA